AAUUGUCUAGAAGAGAUGUUAUUAUGAAAAACCUUCUAAGUAUAACGAUUGGGAAUCUAAUUCGCUGGUGGUGUAGAAUACUUUAAUUUAUUAAAGGAUCCUAAAGCUGGUGAUGUGAUGCCCACCUGGGAGAUCAGGUUUUAAUUCGUUAAGGCGUCCUUCUAGACUUUUU
rnacentral:other from 1 species